UCCUAGAAUAGAUACUGAGGGAUGACUGUAUCUGAUAAAUUCUCAGUGCUUCCAGGGAUGUUACUAUUCAAUUAUUUAUUUAUUUUUUCAGUACUGGGAAUGGAAUCCAGGGCCUCAUGCAUGCUGAACAAGUGCUCUACCACUGAGCUACACCUCCAAAGUAUUACCAAAAAACUGUUGCUGCCUGGUUAAUGUCUAACAAGGGACUUCCCAGAGGAAAGAGUAUGCCCCUCUGUAAUUUUUAAAUUAUGAAUUUCACCUUUGCACCAGGAUACCGAGGAUGUUCUUAGUCAAGGUCCCUGUGAUUCUUCGGUAAAACUGUAUCGCCCCCUGGUGUCAGUAUGCUGCCAUUGCACCAUCACCCACUGAACCCAAAGCUGAGUAAGGAUGUAGCUUCCGGUUUUAUCCCAUAGAUAACCUGUCUGAUAGUAUUGGAUUGAAGAAUAUAGUUUUAAAUGUCAAACCCAGACUUGGUUUGAUAAAGACAUGGAAUGAAGUUUUUAAAUGAAGAGACCUUUCUCUACCCUCAGCAGAAUAUCCUGGGAUGAUCAAGUAAUUCUGAAAAGAUAUUGAUCAGAUUUUAGUCUGCCAAGUUUUAAUACAGGAUGGUCAUGGAAGAGGCUGCAACACACCUACCCAUUUUUCAGAACCAGCUCAAGCAUCUCAUGGGCUGAAAAGCCUUUCCUACUUCUUAGCAAUGGUGCAUCCUAGCCUCCUCUGCUCUGCUAAUUCAAACACUGAAGGAAUGAAGUGUUGCCUGAUUCUAAACCAGCAAAAUAAAGCCAGUCGAG